AGUAGCUCUGCCAUUGCCAUGGCAACCACUGCCGCCGUUCCGUUUUCUCUCUGUUUUUGUUGAUGGAAGUUUUUUAUUUCAACGGUUUCGAGACGAACGAAAUAUUUACAACAACAAAAAAAAUAGGACCACAGGUCAUCCCCGAGCCUUGGGCUCAUAAGACCGGAUUCUGUGGCAUAUAUAUUUCCCAGCGGGAAGGGAAACCGGUCCGUUGCAGGAUCACACAUUUUUGUCAGCCGCGUGGACUGGGGCAACGUGGAAUGAGGUGUUUUGCUCAAAAACACAACGAAUCGACAGGUUCAGGAAUCGAAACCACAAUCUUACAAUCCUGAGUGUAACACCAUUACCAUUAAGCCACGCGCCUUCACCUAAAGCAAUUCUGUUUGUUUGAGGACAAAUUAGUUGGAUAAGCGUUGCCUUUCAUUUAUUUUAUUUUUAAAGACAAUGCCGCAGUUCGCUCCCCGUAUUUGAUAUUUGGAAAUUUACUGGAAACGUUCGAGGUUUCCCAUUUGGAAUGGCCUGAGUUUUGGCCGCUCCGUUCUUUAAAUGUAACACCACCCUUGUUCAAAAUUGCCAUUCUUCCCUCCGAAGUGGCCGCUCUGUGUGGUCGGCACGCCUCACGCUCAUCACUGUUAAUACACGCUAAGCUUCUUUUGAAUUUGGUGGCCAAAAGUUAUCUGAACGAUCGGGUUUGGUGGUCAUAAGUAUUAUCGUGGCUAAGAAACACUCAAUACACACACUGAUUACUUCCAGUGAAAACUCGAAUUAUUUUCAGCGGUAAAAUCAAAUACAAAGUGCUCAAUGACAAUGCUGGUGUGUUGCGUUUGAUUUCGUUGAUAGAUAAUAAUUCCAAGUUGUGAGCGACGGAGAACAAGGUGCUAAAAAGCAGUGUCGCCAGAACAGGCCAAAUGUCCCAUCAGCCAUGCCAAAUUGCCAAUGCCAAAACAGCUGCUCCUAAUUGUCUCAUUCUGCAGUAGCAUGGAAUGUAUUUGAGCCUUGAAUAGAUUUGGAGGAAUUUGAAGGUUAAAAUAUUUCACUCUGAACAAUAGCUUUGUGAGUUAAUUGCAU